UAGUUAUGCAGUCACAAGACUACUCCAGACUGUUUUAUUCUUUCUGUACACUCACCUAGCCCCUUAUCAAGACUUCCAUGCUGUUUCCUGGCUUUUCCAUAUAGCGAUUUCAUUUUAAAUAUAAUAUUAAAAAGCCUCAGUCUUCCAAAACCUUUUUCUUGUCCAGUAAAUUUUCUGCCAUAAAAUAAACAGUCUUCAGAUUUAGGACUGGUUCAGUUAUUUAUUGAAGUAUAUGUGAAAAUGACUAAACUCGAGCAAAUGAGAUAUAUUAGAGAGUUUGUCACAAGGUCUUCCGAAGGAUCUUUUACAAUAUUCAACAUCUACGCAACACUUCCCUGAAAAGGGCGUGAGCAUAAUUUAACAUGAAGCGUAGCUCUGCAAUAACAGUUUUCUUUUCCCUGUCUGACGUGUGAUAGAGUUACAAAAGAAAACGGAUUUGGAACAGGUGCCGGUUAUACAGUGGAAGCAAGAAGACUCUGUGUCCAGCUUCUGUGACCUUGUGACCCUCAAGGGAGAAAUCCGAUUCCCCUGCGCCGACUGGCACACUCUCCUUCGACUCCAGGAGCUCCACUGGUCUGGAGAGUGGGAGAGAGAAAGUUCCCUCGUACUCGGAUGUGCUGAAGAUUUUCCGCUACAGAAAUUAGACACCCCCCAUCUUGAAAGACAGCGAGACGUCUGUCUUUUCCUGAUCUUGUCAGAUCUCAGAAGCCAAGGGGAAGUUGUUUGCUUCGAUUCUUCUAGCUUCGAUUGUUUUCAAAAGCUACAUACAUUUGGAGCAGGACAAGAAGGGAGCAGGCUGUAGUCAAGACCACGCUGGCAGGCCUAAAAGGGAAACCAAGUUUCAGUUUGCCGCUGUGAUUAGUGUUGGUGGACCAGGAGGGGGCGUCUUCCGACUGGACCAGAAUGACCCAAAGCUCCAGUAAGACGACAGGGGUCACUGUGCUGUAGCAGGUGUCGC
rnacentral:lncRNA from 1 species